rnacentral:tRNA from 1 species
GGGAGCAGCUCAGUGGUAGAGCGCAUGCUUAGCAUGCAUGAGGUCCUGGGUUCAAUCCCCAGUACUUCCA